AUACAGAGACGAUGUUGGAAGUGGAAAAAUCCACAGAGCCCUCUCGCCUGGAGUCCCGGCCCCCCGGCCCCCGAGGCCCCUCCACCUUUCCUUCUCCUCUUCCACUUCUAACUAGCUUCUACACAACCGGCCACCGCAUUUCCGCGAACAUUUUUAAUCUGCUUAGUGCCGAGCGCACUUGGGUCGGCUCUGCGCAUGCACGUGGAUCCCCGAGAAAGGAGAUAAGGAGGCCCGUGCAGGUGCAGGGUAGCUUUUGUUGUCAUAACAUUUCCUGACAGAUGAGAGAAUUCUGACUGGCAGAAAACUGGUUCAAGGCCUAAAACCUGCUUGCGUGUGAACAUAUGACCACAAACGCGCAACCGUGGUAUUUACACCCAAAAAAGAAAUGUGCAAUUUAAAGAGUCUGCACUUUCCAAACACAAGUGAAUUGCACACUGAGUUUUCCCGAUUUAAAAUGCCCCACGACAUAAGAACUGGAGCGCCUUUGUUCAUAUCGGCGGUUAUCUGCCGCAAUUGUGACGAGCCGUGUCACAUCUUCCUAUGAGAUAGUACGGGGUGUCCAUAAAGUCUCUUUAUCAUUUCAAAAAUGUAUUAAAAAUGCAAUUGAUUAGAUAUUUUAUUCAGAUUGGUUAUAUUGUAUUUAGUGUUUAUUCAAGUUUUUUUUUUUUUUUUAACCACACUGCAUUUGUGUGUUUCAGGGAUGAGGCAACCUUUCAUCAUUUCAGGGAAACUGAACAAACACAAUGUGAGAUCGGAACAACCCCACUUGACUCGAGAAAUUUAGAGUAAAAGCCCAAAGCAAGAUGGCGGGCGCACCACCACAUUGGCCGCUGCACGUUCGAGGGUUCCUCAAUCAAACAUUUCCAGACCGGCGGAUUGGAAGGGAUGGGCCAAUUCCUCGGCCGCCACCUUCACCUGAUAUCGCUCUCCUGGACUUCUUUCGAUGGGGCUACGUUAAAGAUAUCGUGUAUCGAACAAAGACAAGGAGACAUUACUGACCUAAAGCAAAGGAUUACUGAUGCCGUCGCCACAAUUACGAACACGGCAAGAAAUCGAGUACCGUCUUGAUGUGCUUCGUACAACUAAUGGUGCCCAUGAAGAAGUGUAUUAAAAGAGGUAAAAAAAACAAACAACAAAAAAACUUUGAUAAACGCUGAAUGCAGUGGAAGAAAUCUGAAUAAAAUAAUCAAUUGCAUUUUUAAUACAUUUUUGAAAUGGUAAAGAGACUUCAUGGACACCCUGUAUAUCCGCAUAGCCACUUUAGAGCGCCUCGUUGUCUGCCAUUAGGGUACGCGCAUUAUGCAGAGGUGGUGGCGGGUAGAAUAUUUUUGAAACGUCCAACUUGAGAGCCAAUAUGUGGACGGUGGACUGCCAUCUCUUGUGUUAAACCUCGCACUUUUCCUCCACCGAUGAGGUCCCGACUCUGAAACUACCUCGGAAUCCGGUAAAUUCCCGUGUAAGAGUGCCAGCGACUUGAGAAUCUCAUCAAAUGAGAAAACGCAAAAGCCAAAACAAAGUUAGCCGAGGCUACACCGGCCCCAUUGCCACUAAACAAAGUGUGACGUAUC